rnacentral:lncRNA from 1 species
AAGUUUUUCCAAAAAAUAUGAAUUGUAAUGCAUCCUGCUAUCAUAUAUAACAAAUUAGAAUAAAAAACCAAAAGUUUUUAAAAAUCAAGAUAAGGUAUUUCUAAAACAGUGUACAGAAUUGAGAAAACCAUAGACUUGUCUAAAUUUUCUUCUCAGUUUAUCUAAGUGUUAUCCUCAAGAAUAUUAAAAGAAAAAAUCAUUCCACUCUUCUCUGCACUCCACCCCAGCAGUAGCACCCUCCACCUCCCAAUAAAUAAAAUGGAGUAAUUGGAAGAAUGGUGGUCAUGUCAACUAACAUUGCAGGACAUCACUGACAUCACUGUCACUCUUUUGGUGACAGCAAUUAGAGCAGCUUCAGAUCAGCUUCAGAGCUGGUUGAGCUAGACAUACCAGACCUAGGAAAUGCUUCAGGAUUUACACAGAGAAACAUUAUAAAACAGGAAUGCAGGAUAACACCUAUCCUGAGAUUGUGCAUUUUAAUUUCGCAUCAGUGGUGUUACAGUUGAAGAAACUUGGUUUUGAUGAUUUGAUGCAUUUUGAUUUUAUGGAUCCACCAGCUCCUGAAACUGAUGAG